rnacentral:rRNA from 1 species
UACAGAGGGUGCAAGCGUUAAUCGGAAUUACUGGGCGUAAAGCGUGCGUAGACGGUUACAUAAGUCGGGUGUGAAAUCUCGGAGCUUAACUCCGAAACUGCAUUCGAUACUGCCGUGCUUGAGGACUGGAGAGGAGACUGGAAUUUACGGUGUAGCGGUGAAAUGCGUAGAUAUCGUAAGGAAGACCAGUGGCGAAGGCGGGUCUCUGGACAGUUCCUGACGCUGAGGCACGAAGGUCAGGGGAGCAAACGGG